rnacentral:rRNA from 1 species
GAUGAACGCUGGCGGCGUGCCUAAUACAUGCAAGUCGAGCGAACGGACGAGAAGCUUGCUUCUCUGAUGUUAGCGGCGGACGGGUGAGUAACACGUGGAUAACCUACCUAUAAGACUGGGAUAACUUCGGGAAACCGUAGCUAAUACCGGAUAAUAUUUUGAACCGCAUGGUUCAAAAGUGAAAGACGGUCUUGCUGUCACUUAUAGAUGGAUCCGCGCUGCAUUAGCUAGUUGGUAAGGUAACGGCUUACCAAGGCAACGAUGCAUAGCCGACCUGAGAGGGUGAUCGGCCACACUGGAACUGAGACACGGUCCAGACUCCUACGGGAGGCAGCAGUAGGGAAUCUUCCGCAAUGGGCGAAAGCCUGACGGGGCAACGCCGCGUGAGUGAUGAAGGUCUUCGGAUCGUAAAACUCUGUUAUUAGGGAAGAACAUAUGUGUAAGUAACUGUGCACAUCUUGACGGUACCUAAUCAGAAAGCCACGGCUAACUACGUG